UACGUAGGGGGCAAGCGUUGUCCGGAUUUAUUGGGCGUAAAGAGCGUGUAGGCGGCCAAGCAGGUCAGCUGUGAAAACUCGAGGCUCAACCUCGAGACGUCGGUUGAAACCGCUUGGGCUAGAGUCCGGAAGAGGAGAGUGGAAUUCCCGGUGUAGCCGGUGAAAUGCGCAGACUAUCGGGGAAGAACACCCGUGGCGAAGGCGGCUCUCUGGGACGGUACUGACGCUGAG
rnacentral:rRNA from 1 species